GAGAAAGUAAGCAAGGGCAGACGGUGGAUGCCUUGGCUCUCGGAGGCGACGAAGGACGUGAUAAGCUGCGAAAAGCUCGGGGGAGGCGCAAAUAGCCGUUGAUCCCGGGAUAUCCGAAUGGGGCAACCCGGCAGGCUGAAGGCCUGUCAUCCCGUAAGGGAGGCGAACGUGGGGAACUGAAACAUCUAAGUACCCAUAGGAGGAGAAAAUAAACAAUGAUUCCGUAAGUAGUGGCGAGCGAACACGGAAGAGCCCAAACCCAUGUCGUCUAGGCGACACGGGGGUUGUAGGACCACGACGUGGCAAGAAGGAAGGGAAAUGGAACGACUUGGAAAAGUCGGCCAUAGACGGUGAAAGCCCGGUACAUGACUCCCUUACGAAGCCUAGUGGUAUCCUGAGUAGCGCGGGGCACGAGAAAUCUUGCGUGAAACAGCGGGGCCCAUCCCGUAAGGCUAAAUA
rnacentral:rRNA from 1 species